AAGUCGUAACAAGGUUUCCGUAGGUGAACCUGCGGAAGGAUCAUUAACACGUAUCCAAUUAACGAGCGGGUACCAGUAGGUCGACACGGCCGGUAUCGGAACCUGGGCGUCGUUCCUAGAGGAACGAGUACACGUCCCUCUUGACCCCUUGAAACGACAGGGUGUCGCGAAAACGUGGUAAGGCAUGAUUUUACUUGUUCCGAAAGGUCAAGUACUAACUGAACAACUGUUAACAAUGGAUAUCUUGGUUCUC
rnacentral:misc_RNA from 1 species